rnacentral:rRNA from 1 species
ACAAUGGCUAUAACAGAGGGAAGCGAAGCAGUGAUGUGGAGCGAAACCCAAAAAAGUAGUCUCAGUUCGGAUUGAAGGCUGAAAUUCGCCUUCAUGAAGCCGGAAUGGCUAGUAAUCGCGCAUCAGCCACGGCGCGGUGAAUACGUUCCCGGGCCUUGUACACACCGCCCGUCAAGCCAUGGGAGCCGGGGGUACCUGAAGUGCGUAACCGCGAGGAGCGCCCUAGGGUAAAACUGGUGACUGGGGCUAAGUCGUAACAAGGUAAC